GAUGAACGCUGGCGGCGUGCCUAAUACAUGCAAGUCGAGCGAACAGACGAGGAGCUUGCUCCUCUGACGUUAGCGGCGGACGGGUGAGUAACACGUGGAUAACCUACCUAUAAGACUGGGAUAACUUCGGGAAACCGGAGCUAAUACCGGAUAAUAUAUUGAACCGCAUGGUUCAAUAGUGAAAGACGGUUUUGCUGUCACUUAUAGAUGGAUCCGCGCCGCAUUAGCUAGUUGGUAAGGUAACGGCUUACCAAGGCAACGAUGCGUAGCCGACCUGAGAGGGUGAUCGGCCGCACUGGAACUGGGACACGGUCCCGACUCCUACGGGAGGCAGCAGUAGGGAAUCUUCCGCAAUGGGCGAAAGCCUGACGGAGCAACGCCGCGUGAGUGAUGAAGGUCUUCGGAUCGUAAAACUCUGUUAUUAGGGAAGAACAAAUGUGUAAGUAACUAUGCACGUCUUGACGGUACCUAAUCAGAAAGCCACGGCUAACUACGUG
rnacentral:rRNA from 1 species